rnacentral:rRNA from 1 species
UAUUCCCCACUGCUGCCUCCCGUAGGAGUCUGGUCCGUGUCUCAGUACCAGUGUGGGGGACCUUCCUCUCAGAACCCCUACGCAUCGUCGCCUUGGUGGGCCGUCGCCCCGCCAACAAGCUAAUGCGCCGCAUGCCCAUCCCGUACCGCCGGAGCUUUCCCCCCGGGAGGAUGCCCUCUCGGGGACUACGGGGUAUUAGACCAAAUUUCUCUGGAUUAUCCCCCUGUACGGGGCAGGUUGCAUACGUGUUACUCACCAGUGCGCCGGUCGCCAUCAGGCAUAUUGCUAUGCCCAUGCUGCCCCUCGACUUGCAUGUGUUAAGCCUGCCGCCAGCGUUCAUCCUGAGCCA